AAAUUGAAGAGUUUGAUCAUGGCUCAGAUUGAACGCUGGCGGCAGGCCUAACACAUGCAAGUCGAGCGGUAGCACAGAGAGCUUGCUCUCGGGUGACGAGCGGCGGACGGGUGAGUAAUGUCUGGGAAACUGCCUGAUGGAGGGGGAUAACUACUGGAAACGGUAGCUAAUACCGCAUAAUGUCGCAAGACCAAAGUGGGGGACCUUCGGGCCUCAUGCCAUCAGAUGUGCCCAGAUGGGAUUAGCUAGUAGGUGAGGUAACGGCUCACCUAGGCGACGAUCCCUAGCUGGUCUGAGAGGAUGACCAGCCACACUGGAACUGAGACACGGUCCAGACUCCUACGGGAGGCAGCAGUGGGGAAUAUUGCACAAUGGGCGCAAGCCUGAUGCAGCCAUGCCGCGUGUGUGAAGAAGGCCUUCGGGUUGUAAAGCACUUUCAGCGGGGAGGAAGGCGAUAAGGUUAAUAACCUUGUCGAUUGACGUUACCCGCAGAAGAAGCACCGGCUAACUCCGUGCCAGCAGCCGCGGUAAUACGGAGGGUGCAAGCGUUAAUCGGAAUUACUGGGCGUAAAGCGCACGCAGGCGGUCUGUCAAGUCGGAUGUGAAAUCCCCGGGCUCAACCUGGGAACUGCAUUCGAAACUGGCAGGCUAGAGUCUUGUAGAGGGGGGUAGAAUUCCAGGUGUAGCGGUGAAAUGCGUAGAGAUCUGGAGGAAUACCGGUGGCGAAGGCGGCCCCCUGGACAAAGACUGACGCUCAGGUGCGAAAGCGUGGGGAGCAAACAGGAUUAGAUACCCUGGUAGUCCACGCCGUAAACGAUGUCGAUUUGGAGGUUGUGCCCUUGAGGCGUGGCUUCCGGAGCUAACGCGUUAAAUCGACCGCACGGGAGUACGGCCGCAAGGUUAAAACUCAAAUGAAUUGACGGGGGCCCGCACAAGCGGUGGAGCAUGUGGUUUAAUUCGAUGCAACGCGAAGAACCUUACCUGGUCUUGACAUCCACAGAACUUAGCAGAGAUGCUUUGGUGCCUUCGGGAACUGUGAGACAGGUGCUGCAUGGCUGUCGUCAGCUCGUGUUGUGAAAUGUUGGGUUAAGUCCCGCAACGAGCGCAACCCUUAUCCUUUGUUGCCAGCGGUUCGGCCGGGAACUCAAAGGAGACUGCCAGUGAUAAACUGGAGGAAGGUGGGGAUGACGUCAAGUCAUCAUGGCCCUUACGACCAGGGCUACACACGUGCUACAAUGGCAUAUACAAAGAGAAGCGACCUCGCGAGAGCAAGCGGACCUCAUAAAGUAUGUCGUAGUCCGGAUUGGAGUCUGCAACUCGACUCCAUGAAGUCGGAAUCGCUAGUAAUCGUAGAUCAGAAUGCUACGGUGAAUACGUUCCCGGGCCUUGUACACACCGCCCGUCACACCAUGGGAGUGGGUUGCAAAAGAAGUAGGUAGCUUAACCUUCGGGAGGGCGCUUACCACUUUGUGAUUCAUGACUGGGGUGAAGUCGUAACAAGGUAACCGUAGGGGAACCUGCGGUUGGAUCACCUCCUUACCUUAAAGAA
rnacentral:rRNA from 1 species